ACAGCUCAGUCAGCAGAGCAUGAGACUCUUAAUCUCAGGAUCGUGGGUUCGAGCCCCACCUUGAGCA